AGCACUUGUGUUUUUGUUUUUUCAUUUGUGGACAAAGACUUAGAUACAGGUGCAAAAAUAAAUCUCUUUUGCAACCCAGAACACAUUGUUCAGUAUGAGUUUUGAUACAGAUAAGGAACAUGAUA
rnacentral:snoRNA from 1 species